CAGCCGCCGCGGUAAUACGGAGGAUCCGAGCGUUAUCCGGAUUUAUUGGGUUUAAAGGGUGCGUAGGCGGCCCUUUAAGUCAGGGGUGAAAGACGGCAGCUCAACUGUCGCAGUGCCCUUGAUACUGAAGUGCUUGAAUGCGGUUGAAGACGGCGGAAUGAGACAAGUAGCGGUGAAAUGCAUAGAUAUGUCUCAGAACACCGAUUGCGAAGGCAGCUGUCUAAGCCGUUAUUGACGCUGAUGCACGAAAGCGUGGGGAUCGAACAGGAUUAGAUACCCUGGUAGGCCACGCCCUAAACGAUGAUGACUCGAUGUUUGCGAUAUACCGUAAGCGUCCAAGCGAAAGCGUGAAGUCAUCCACCUGGGGAGUACGCCCGCAAGGGUGAAACUUAAAGGAAUUGGCGG
rnacentral:rRNA from 1 species